CCCUCGGUCCGUCCCCACUGACACCUCUUUCCCCGGUGGCCGAUCACCUGCUGGUGGUGGCCGCAUCCCUAGCCGCAGGCGUCUGCCGCCACCCUAUCCUCCCGUCAAGGCGCCUCCACGCCGACGAGCCCCCAAGCCACGACGAUAUCGCUCCUCCUCAGAUUGAGCAACAAGCCACGACGAUAUCGCUCCUCCUUCUCAGAUUGAGCAACACUGCUGGCCCUGCAUGUCAUCCCCUACGACCACAAAUGCCUGCGGCAGCAGAGCAAAGUGGUCUUACUGCAGAUCCGUGGUCAAGCCCGCACCAGCCACAUCACCCACCCGGGCGCGAUUUGUCGGUUGUGCCUUGUGCGGCUUGAUUAGGUGGGGGCUCGGUACCGCUGUGGCCAUGCUAGAAGCACGUGGGGCCCCUACCCAUUCCAAUAGUGAUAAGCGGCUACCCUCCCUUGCAGGCCUUUGGUCAGACUGCAUCCGCUCCUCUAGGCAAGAAGACAUCAUGCGCAUAAUCUAUACAAUGCUGCUACAAGAUAACUGAACCAACAGAGCAUACAAAAGAAGAAGCAAGAUGGCAAAUCACAAGUGAUUUUUUUUUGAAACAUACCCCUACUUGUUGUGAUGUUUCUGUUUAACUUGUCAAAGUGUUUAUGGUUUUGAUAUAUGCGUUUAACUUGUCAAAAUGUUUAUGGUUUUGAUAUAUGCUGUCAGUCUGGACAUAACCCUGCGUCUGAAGCCAAAACUUUACAAUCCUAAUUUCAUUGAUGCAAAUACCACUGUCAUACAUUCUUUUCAGGACAUGACUACCUGCGUGGAUAGACAAGUUAUGGGAAUGUCGACGUGAGGAGGCAGCAUGAAGGCUUUGCUGACCUGCCACAAUUUUAGCCAUUUAGAUUUGGAUGUCCCCAAACAAUUGUGUGUUAUAAUUUUACAAACAUUAUGCCUUUGAGUUCUGAGUGUGUUCUGGAAUUUGACAAUGGAUGGUUUAAUCAAAGAAUAUUGUUUCAUGGGUGUAAAUACUUUAUUAUUGAUAAUAUAUUGUUUUGAAUUAUCUGGUUGGACAACAAAAA